GCCGAAAUAGCUCAGUUGGGAGAGCGUUAGACUGAAGAUCUAAAGGUCGCUGGUUCCAUCCCGGAUUUCGGCU
rnacentral:tRNA from 1 species